rnacentral:rRNA from 1 species
AAUUUUGGACAAUGGGGGAAAGCCUGAUCCAGCCAUCGCCCGUGUAUAAUGAAGGCCUUCGGGUUGUAAAGUACUUUUGGCAGAGAAGAAAAGGUAUCUCCUAAUACGAGAUACUGCUGACGGUAUCUGCAGAAUAAGCACAGGCUAACUACGUGCCAGCAGCCGCGGUAAUACGUAGGGUGCAAGCGUUAAUCGGAAUUACUGGGAGUAAAGCGUGUGUAGGCGGUUCGGAAAGAAAGAUGUGGAAUCCCAGUGCUCAACCUUGGAAAUGCAUUUUUAACUGCCGAGCUAGAGUAUGUCAGAGGGGGGUAGAAUUCCAAGUGUAGCAGUGAAAUGCGUAGAUAUGUGGAGGAAUACCGAUGGCGAAGGCAGCCCCCUGGGAUAAUACUGACGCUCAGACACGAAAGCGUGGGGAGCAAACA